rnacentral:piRNA from 1 species
UACAGUAUAAAAAAAAAAAUAGGCAUAGU